GACGAACGCUGGCGGCGUGCUUAACACAUGCAAGUCGAACGGAAAGGCCCUGCUUUUGUGGGGUGCUCGAGUGGCGAACGGGUGAGUAACACGUGAGUAACCUGCCCUUGACUUUGGGAUAACUUCAGGAAACUGGGGCUAAUACCGGAUAGGAGCUCCUGCUGCAUGGUGGGGGUUGGAAAGUUUCGGCGGUUGGGGAUGGACUCGCGGCUUAUCAGCUUGUUGGUGGGGUAGUGGCUUACCAAGGCUUUGACGGGUAGCCGGCCUGAGAGGGUGACCGGCGACAUUGGGACUGAGAUACGGCCCAGACUCCUACGGGAGGCAGCAGUGGGGAAUAUGGCACAAUGGGCGGAAGCCUGAUGCAGCAACGCCGCGUGCGGGAUGACGGGCUUCGGGGGGUAAACCGCUUUCGCCUGUGACGAAGCGUGAGUGACGGUAAUGGGUAAAGAAGCACCGGCUAACUACGUG
rnacentral:rRNA from 1 species